AUGAACGCUGGCGGCGUACCUAACGCAUGCAAGUCGAACGGGGNAAUUUGUAGCAAUACGAGUUCCUAGUGGCAAACGGGUGAGUAACACGUGGGUAUCUACCUCGAAGUGGGGAAUAACGAGUCGAAAGGUUCGCUAAUACCGCAUGAGUUCGAGAGAACAAAGGUGGAGUAAUCCAUCGCUUUGAGAGGGACCUGCGGUCGAUCAGAUAGUUGGUGAGGUAACGGCUCACCAAGUCCAUGACCGAUAGCUGAUCUGAGAGGAUGACCAGCCACACUGGCACUGUGACACGGGCCAGACUCCUACGGGAGGCAGCAGCGAGGAAUAUUGCACAAUGGGCGCAAGCCUGAUGCAGUAACGCUGCGUGGGGGACGAAGACCUUCGGGUUGUAAACCCCUUUUCAAUGAGACGAGUGAGGACGGUAUCAUUGGAAUCAGUCUCGGCUAACUACGUGCCAGCAGCCGCGGUAAGACGUAGGAGGCGAGCGUUAUCCGGAUUCACUGGGCGU
rnacentral:rRNA from 1 species